CGAAAUAGCUUUUGGGCUAGCGUUGCGUGUUCGUACUGGGGGUAGAGCACUGGAAAGUUUCGACAGGGAGCAAUCUCGCGAAACUUAUCAAACUCCGAAUACCAGUCACUAAACAGCGCGGCAGUUAGACUGUGGGGGCUAAGCUCCAUUGGUCAAAAGGGGAACAGCCCAGAUCUCAAAUUAAGGUCCCUAAAUUUACACUAAGUGCAUCUUAAGGAUGUAGGAUUUCUCUGACAAUGAGGAUGUUGGCUUAGAAGCAGCCAUCAUUUAAAGAAAGCGUAACAGCUCACUCAUCGAGAGAUCUCGCACCGCAGAUAAUCGGGGCUAAACGUAGUACCGAAUUUGAGGGCUCUGGCGGCGUUCGCGCCGCCAGAGCGGUAGAAGACUAUUCCACUCUUGCUGUGAAGGAGAAGGCGUGAGCCACUCUGGAGCGUGUGGAAGUAAAAAUGUUGGCACAAGUAACCGCAAGGAAGGUGAGAUCCCUUCCCGCCGAAAGACUAAGGUUUCCAGAGCUAUGAUUGUCAACUCUGGGUUAGUCGGGCCUAAGGAGAUGGCGAAAGCCGUAUCUGAUGGACACAUGGUUAAUAUUCCAUGACUUCGUAUCUGUGCGAUGGGAGGACGGAGGGUAGUAUGUACAGCUCAUUAUUGGAUUUGAGUUUGUGACGUAAGUGGGGUGCGCAGGAAAAUCCGCGUACUGCCUUAGAUGGCAACUUGCAAGCGUAGCAGAAAUGUGAGGGUUCGCCCUUGCAGAUUGUACAAAGCACGCUCCCGAGAAAAAUCUCUAAGCUUCAACAGAUAUGAAUCCGUACCGUAAACCGACACAGGUAGUCAGGUCGAGAAGACCAAGGCGAACGAGUGAUUGAUCCCCAAGGAACUCGGCAAAAUAGCAGCCGUAACUUUGGAAUAAGGCUUGGCUAUAGCAAUAUAGCCCGCAGCGAAAGACUCUCUGGCAACUGUUUACCAAAAACACAGCUCCCUGCGAACUCGUAAGAGGAUGUAUAGGGGGUGACACCUGACCAAUGCGAGAAGGUCAACUAUCGGUGGUCAUAUUCCGCUUUUCAUUUGAGAAAUCGAAUGCGAAGCGGAGUAUGGCUGGCUGAUAUAAGCCCUCGUGAAUGUCGGCCGUAACUAUAACGGUCCUAAGGUAGCGAAGUUCCUUGUCGGGUAAGUUCCGACGCGCACGAAUGGUGUAAUGACUGGAGAACUGUCUCGGGGAUUAGCUCGGUGAAAAUACAAUACCGGUGAAGAUGCCGGUUACCUGCAGAUAGACGAAAAGACCCUAGAAGCUUUACUGCAGCUUGAUAUUGACUAUAUUUGUUCACUGCGUAGGAUAGGUGGGAGAGGUUUGAUGGUUACGAUUUCGGUUGUGAUCUACUCGUCAGUGAAAUACCACUCUGUCAACAGGUAUAGUCUAAUCCUCACGGCAAAAACGUGAAGAGACAGUUUCUGGUGGGCAGUUUUACUGGGGCGGUAUCCUCCCAAAAAGUAACGGAGGAGUUUAAAGGUCAGCUAGGCGCGAAUGGAAACCGUGCCGAUAGUGUAAGGGCACAAGCUGGAUUGACUGCGAGACGUACGUGUCGAGCAGAUGCGAAAGCAGAGCCAAGUGAUCCGACCUUACGCAU
rnacentral:rRNA from 1 species